GUUUCUUUACCAGGAAUGGUGGAACCUUCUACAAAGCCUCACACUGCCUGUUUGGAGAAGAAAAGGCAACAUCGAACCCCGCCUUGUGGGUUUGUUACCCACUUGGGGACUCAUCCAGGAUCCGUUCCUCGUGGAUUGGUGGCCAAGGAGUGGGGAGAGACUUUAAAGGCUCCGUAGCAGCUGCCUGGCUGAGUUUCUGCAGAGGAUUACGUUGUCCUGGGAGACUCAAGUUGAAGCUGACCAAUUGCAUGCGGAAGACCCAAAUAACCAUGUGAGAACUAGAGCUAAUUUAGCCAUCCCAACACAUGACCCCAUCUGGAACCCAAACAAUGGAGAAGAAGGUUCCAGUUUCCAGCAGACAUGCCCUUUCAUUCCAUAAUGCCAGGAGACAAGGUGUUACUGAAAAACCUGGAUAAACCAGCAUCCUGAAGAUCAACUACAGCCACAGUGGAUCAGCCCCUUUGAGGUGCUUCUGAAAACUCACUCAACAGGAAUGGUGAAACCUCCUACAAAGCCUCACACUACCUGUUUGUCUGGAGAAGACAAGAUAAAAGCCUCACACUACCUGUUUGUCUGGAGAAGACAAGAUAAGCAGUACUCCACCACAGACCAUGCUCAAAGACACACUGAGCCCAGGCACGAGGCCACAAGAACCAUGAAUAUGAACCCCAGAUCAUUAAAAUACUAAUGGGAGGGACCUAUCUGCCACUCUUUGAUCAUGGGACAUAUGUACUAGAAUGGUUUUUCACUGUACUUGUUUGCCUUGCACGAUUUUGCCUGAGAAAACUCUCUGACCAUGUUGGUCACGGAGGCAGAUUUGAGGCACUUCAUAACUGCCCCCUCCCAGCUGAUGUGUCCUCUGAAAUAAAUCCUUUCGUCUUUA